rnacentral:rRNA from 1 species
AAUAUAGCACCGAAGCUGCGGCAUCAGACGAAAGUCUGUUGGGUAGGGGAGCGUUCUGUAAGCGGAUGAAGGUGAAUCGAGAGGUUUGCUGGACGUAUCAGAAGUGCGAAUGCUGACAUAAGUAACGAUAAAACGGGUGAAAAACCCGUUCGCCGGAAGACCAAGGGUUCCUGUCCAACGUUAAUCGGGGCAGGGUGAGUCGGCCCCUAAGGCGAGGCUGAAAAGCGUAGUCGAUGGGAAACGGGUUAAUAUUCCCGUACUUGGAUAAACUGCGAUGUGGGGACGGAGCAGGUUAGGUUAUCGCACUGUUGGAUAUGUGCGUUUAAGUUUGUAGGUGGGAAGUUUAGGCAAAUCCGGACUUCUAUUCAACACUGAGAGAUGAUGACGAGGCUCUACGGAGCUGAAGUAACCGAUACCACACUUCCAGGAAAAGCCACUAAGCUUCAGGUUUAUCUAAACCGUACUGAAAACCGACACAGGUGGUCAGGUAGAGAAUACUCAGGCGCUUGAGAGAACUCGGGUGAAGGAACUAGGCAAAAUAGCACCGUAACUUCGGGAGAAGGUGCGCCGGCGUAGAUUGUAGUCCCUUGCGGAUGAAGGUUGAACCGGUCGAAGAUACCAGCUGGCUGCAACUGUUUAUUAAAAACACAGCACUCUGCAAACACGAAAGUGGACGUAUAGGGUGUGAUGCCUGCCCGGUGCUGGAAGGUUAAUUGAUGGUGUAAUCGAAAGAGAAGCUCCUGAUCGAAGCCCCAGUAAACGGCGGCCGUAACUAUAACGGUCCUAAGGUAGCGAAAUUCCUUGUCGGGUAAGUUCCGACCUGCACGAAUGGCAUAAUGAUGGCCAGGCUGUCUCCACCCGAGACUCAGUGAAAUUGAAAUCGCCGUGAAGAUGCGGUGUACCCGCGGCUAGACGGAAAGACCCCGUGAACCUUUACUAUAGCUUGACACUGAACAUUGAAUUUUGAUGUGUAGGAUAGGUGGGAGCCUUUGAAGCAGUCACGCCAGUGAUUGUGGAGGCGUCCUUGAAAUACCACCCUUUAACGUUUGAUGUUCUAACGAAGAUUACGAAACGUGGUCUCGGACAGUGUCUGGUGGGUAGUUUGACUGGGGCGGUCUCCUCCCAAAGAGUAACGGAGGAGCACGAAGGUUUGCUAAUGACGGUCGGACAUCGUCAGGUUAGUGCAAUGGUAUAAGCAAGCUUAACUGCGAGACAGACAAGUCGAGCAGGUACGAAAGUAGGUCAUAGUGAUCCGGUGGUUCUGAAUGGAAGGGCCAUCGCUCAACGGAUAAAAGGUACUCCGGGGAUAACAGGCUGAUACCGCCCAAGAGUUCAUAUCGACGGCGGUGUUUGGCACCUCGAUGUCGGCUCAUCACAUCCUGGGGCUGAAGUAGGUCCCAAGGGUAUGGCUGUUCGCCAUUUAAAGUGGUACGCGAGCUGGGUUUAGAACGUCGUGAGACAGUUCGGUCCCUAUCUGCCGUGGGCGUUGGAGAAUUGGUUGGGGCUGCUCCUAGUACGAGAGGACCGGAGUGGACGCACCACUGGUGUUCCGGUUGUGUCGCCAGACGCAUUGCCGGGUAGCUAAGUGCGGAAGAGAUAAGUGCUGAAAGCAUCUAAGCACGAAACUUGCCAAGAGAUGAGUUCUCCCAGAUUUAAAAUCUGUAAGGGUUGUUUAAGACUAAGACGUAGAUAGGCAUGGUGUGUAAGCGGUGCGAGCCGUUGAGCUAACAUGUACUAAUUGCCCGAGAGGCUUAACUAU